rnacentral:rRNA from 1 species
ACAGAUGGGAGCUUGCUCCCUGAAGUCAGCGGCGGACGGGUGAGUAACACGUGGGCAACCUGCCUGUAAGACUGGGAUAACUCCGGGAAACCGGGGCUAAUACCGGAUAAUUCUUUCCCUCACAUGAGGGAAAGCUGAAAGAUGGUUUCGGCUAUCACUUACAGAUGGGCCCGCGGCGCAUUAGCUAGUUGGUGAGGUAACGGCUCACCAAGGCAACGAUGCGUAGCCGACCUGAGAGGGUGAUCGGCCACACUGGGACUGAGACACGGCCCAGACUCCUACGGGAGGCAGCAGUAGGGAAUCUUCCGCAAUGGACGAAAGUCUGACGGAGCAACGCCGCGUGAGUGAUGAAGGUUUUCGGAUCGUAAAACUCUGUUGUUAGGGAAGAACAAGUACCGGAGUAACUGCCGGUACCUUGACGGUACCUAACCAGAAAGCCACGGCUAACUACGUGCCAGCAGCCGCGGUAAUACGUAGGUGGCAAGCGUUGUCCGGAAUUAUUGGGCGUAAAGCGCGCGCAGGCGGUUCCUUAAGUCUGAUGUGAAAGCCCCCGGCUCAACCGGGGAGGGUCAUUGGAAACUGGGGAACUUGAGUGCAGAAGAGAAGAGUGGAAUUCCACGUGUAGCGGUGAAAUGCGUAG